rnacentral:rRNA from 1 species
UAUGGCGGAAAAAGUGAAGGGUGGGGCGGGGGGGGGUCCUUCGGGAUGCCGGCGAGCGGCGGACGGGUGAGAAAAGCCUAGGAAUCUGCCUGGUAGUGGGGGAUAACGCGGGGAAACUCGCGCUAAUACCGCAUACGUCCUACGGGAGAAAGUGGGGGACCUUUUGGCCUCACGCUAUCAGAUGAGCCUAGGUCGGAUUAGCUAGUUGGUAGGGUAAAGGCCUACCAAGGCGACGAUCCGUAACUGGUCUGAGAGGAUGAUCAGUCACACUGGAACUGAGACACGGUCCAGACUCCUACGGGAGGCAGCAGUGGGGAAUAUUGGACAAUGGGCGAAAGCCUGAUCCAGCCAUUACUACGGGGGGUGAAGAAGGUCUUCGGAUUGUAAAGCACUUUAAGUUGGGAGGAAGGGCAGUAAGUUAAUACCUUGCUGUUUUGACGUUACCGACAGAAUAAGCACCGGCUAACUCUGUGCCAGCAGCCGCGGUAAUACAGAGGGUGCAAGCGUUAAUCGGAAUUACUGGGCGUAAAGCGCGCGUAGGUGGUUCAGCAAGUUGGAUGUGAAAUCCCCGGGCUCAACCUGGGAACUGCAUCCAAAAACUACUGAGCUAGAGUACGGUAGAGGGGUGGUGGAAUUUCCUGUGUAGCGGUGAAUUGCGUAGAAUAUAGGGAAGGACACCAGUGGGCGAAAGGCGACCAACUGGAACUGGAUACUGGACACUGAUGGUGGCGAAAGCCGUUGGGGAGCAAACAGGAUUAGAUACCCUGGUAGUCCACGCCGUAAACGAUGUCGACUAGCCGUUGGAAUCCUUGAGAUUUUAGUGGCGCAGCUAACGCAUUAAGUCGACCGCCUGGGGAGUACGGCCGCGAGGUUAAAACUCAAAUGAAUUGACGGGGGCCCGCACAAGCGGUGGAGCAUGUGGUUUAAUUCGAAGCAACGCGAAGAACCUUACCUGGCCUUGACAUCCUGCGAACCUUUCAGAGAUGAGAGGGUGCCUUCGGGAACGCAGAGACAGGUGCUGCAUGGCUGUCGUCAGCUCGUGUCGUGAGAUGUUGGGUUAAGUCCCGUAACGAGCGCAACCCUUGUCCUUAGUUACCAGCACCUCGGGUGGGCACUCUAAGGAGACUGCCGGGUGACAAACCGGGAGGAAGGGUGGGGGAUGACGUCAAGUCAUCAUGGCCCUUUACGGCCAGGGCCUACAC